rnacentral:lncRNA from 1 species
UGUACGUACCGCUCGAUGGAAGCUGUUUGUAUGGGCUUGACUCUAACAAAAGUUGCUUUAGCACACUUAUUGAGGCCAAAAAUCCAUCUCGAUGUCAUUGCUAAUCUUUUUUAACUGUUGUUAGCCGCCCUGCUAGCUCUUGGUCAUUUCUAGCAAAUAGCUUCAGAUCGUCCAUAUAAAACUGAUUAUUAUUAUUAUUAUUAUUAUUAUUAUUAUUAUUAUUAUUAUUAUUAUUAUUAUUAUUAUUAUUAAUAUUACUAUUAUUAUUAUUAUUAUUAUUAUUAUUAUUAUUAGUAUUAUUGUGUGAGAAACCAGCACAUACAAUCAAAGUGACACUGGAAUACCAAUAUAUGAAGCUCAAAAUUCCCAUCAUGACUAUCCAGGCACACCAGGCACGUGCCUCAAAACCAUAUGUGCGUGAUAUGGUGAUCUCAUAUCAAAAUAAACACCGAUUGACCUUGCAGGUGGGUCCUAGUUAAUAUUUUCUUCAGGUCGAGUAGCCCAUUCUGCUCAAAAGGUUCCUGAAUAAGGCUUGUUUAAGAUUGAUGAACGAAACACCCCUGUUUCCAGGUGUGAAUUAUUCAAACCCCAAAGAAUUUCUCUCAAUACAUGGCUAUAAUGUUUCCCAAUACUUCUGCUUGUGAUCAGAGAUGCACAUAUCAUCAGCCACUAAGGAACAUGCUCAACUGGUUAAGGCCAGGCAACUGACAAGCAAAUUUGUGGUAUUGAGCAGAAUAUUUGCUGUAGCCCAUCCUUUUAUACCAACACAAAACAAUGUAUAUGAUAACACUUUACUAUGAGAGCCAUUGCCUGUUUCUGCAUAAUGAUGAUGAUGAUGAUGAUGAUGAUCAUCAUCAUCAUCAUCAUUGCUGUUGUUAUUGUUGUCAGAUCUCAAGAUUGUGUUAUGAUUCUGCAAGUCCUCGAUGCAGGUUGUUAUUGACAAAUCUGUUAGUCUCUUACGUUGCCGGUUGAACGUUUUAUUCCACAAUCCCUCUAUUCCUCUUGUUAGAUGCUGGUUUUUCCCAAUCUUCUCCAUUUUCUUUCAUACCCCCUCCACUAACAUAGACGAUUACGAAAACAAGACCAUACAGAUUUUGUACCAUGUAUCAUCUACAAUCAUAUCUAGUAUACUUAUUUCAAUAAUAUGUUUAGUCUCUGAGGAAAACUCCCAUAAAAUGUCGUCAUUAUCAAUCACCAUGGCAGCAUCUCUGGCUCGUGUUCAUACGACUUGUCCGUCACUUCAUAUCUACAAACAAGGCUAAUUUACCAACGCAUAGUUUUAGUGACAGAGACGAACUUUGUGAAAUGUACAAUUUGUCUGUUUGUUUUGCCUGAGCUUACUGAAACUCACUGGCUGAUAGUUGGUUAAUAUAUUCAUCCACUUUUCCUACACAUUCUCUGUUUGCUCUUUGAUUGAGGUUUACGAAUCGUUGUCUGUAUCAGAUUGUAAUUAAUAUUAUCGUUAACGCGUGGGACAAAAUAUAAGUUCACACGAGUUCAGAUCUCGCAGAGGUCGUUUUAUGCUUUGCGGCAUUGCGUCAAUAUUUACGUUGAUCGUCUGCACCUACAUAGAAGUAAUGAUAAAAAAGGUAUGAUGAAAAAUGGAUGUCAAAAACAUUUACAUAAGAUCCCUGAAGAACCACGUCUCAGAGAAAUCCAAAAGAUUGUGCUGACAAGUGCUGCUCAUAGCGUUAGAAAAAAAUUAUGCAUUUAAAUGUUUGUUUGGUAUUACAUGAAGAUAUUUCGCUACUACCCCUGCCAUUUCCUAUCUUACUUUUGCUAAUUUCCCUAUAAAAUUUCUUUGCAUUCGUCGUGAAUACCUUUUGUCGAUUAAAUUUGAUUCUUUUGUCAUACCUUCUAAGCCAUUGGGCAUUCAGUUAUAUCCGUUGUUUCAAUUGUUGCAGCGAGGUUUAUGAAAUCUUUGAUUCACUUGAUUUUUCUAGCUCGUUUCAUCUUAACAUUUACUCCUCUAGCAAGUUUAUCAAGAACUGAUACACCCACCCGCAAAGAUUCGAUCUCUUUUUGUAUUGCUACUUUCUACUGAGGAGGUCUAUUGACAUGGUUGGUCCUUUUCCGCGUCGUCCUGAUACAUAGUUGAGCAGUUACAACUUUAGCAGUGGAAAAGAUGAAGUUAUUUAAGGUUAUUAGGUCAUUCCCCUUAUUUCUUAAGAUAUGCCUGAGAGCAACAUUAUACAUCAUGAUUAUGUUGUUAUUUGUUAUUUUUUGUGCUGUUUGAGAGCUUUGGUAGCGGUUCUCUAUUGAUCAUGUCGGUAAACACAGUCUUGCUGAGUUCUCUCAUAAUAUCUUCUUUUCUUUCUAUGAUACUCUCUUUAUUGUUCACCUCAAAUUCUGUGUCAUAUAUAUUCUGGUGUUCUUGAGGUAGGUCUAUUGUUACUUCUCCUCCCCCUCCUCCUCCUCCUCCUUCUCCUCCUACUGCUACUACUGCUGCUGCUGCUGCUACUACUGCUACUUUUAUUAUUAUUAUUAUUAUUAUUAUUAUUAUUAUUAUUGAGUGAGAGAGCAGUGCAUAUGCCAUCAAAGUGACACUGGGGUAAAAUAUACGAAGCCCAGUAUACCCAUCAUGACUACCUGUCUGAUAGGCACAUGCAUCACAACCAUAUGUGCGCGACAUGGUGAUCUCAUAUCAAGAUAAACAGCACAUGACCUUGUAGGUGGGGCCCAGUUAGAAUUUUCUUCUGGUUGAGUAACCCAUCCCGCUCAAAAGGUCCCUGAAUAAGGGUUGUUUAAGGACGUUGAACGAAACACCCAUGUUUCCAGAGGUGAAUUAUUCAAACCCCAAAGAAUCCUGUCUCAACACGCGGCUAUGAUGCUCUCCCACUACUUCUGCUCAUGAUCAGAGAUGCACAUAUCGUCAGCCGCUAAGGGACAUGCUCAACUGGUUAAGGUCAAAUAACUGACAAGCAAAUCUGUGGUACUGAGCAGAAUAUUUGCUGUAGCCCAUCUUUUAUACCAGGACAAAACAAUGUACAUAAUAACACUUCCAAUGAGUUAAGAUCAGAAGCCACGAGAGCCACUGCCUGGUACUGCAUCAGGGCAAUUAUCAUCAUCAUCAUCAUUAUUAUUAUUAUUAUUAUUAUUAUUAUCAUUAUUAUUAUUAUUAUUAUUAUUAUUAUUAUUAUUAUUAUUAUUAUUAUUAUUAUUAUUAUUAUUAUUAUUAUAAUUAUUAUUAUUAUUAUAAUUAUUAUUAUCAUUAUUAUUAUUAUUAUUAUUAUUAUUAUUAUUAUUAUUAUUAUUAUUAUUAUUAUUAUUAUUAUUAUUGUCAUUUCACUUCUGAGAGCUCUCGAUUUCACUUAGUUCGGCUAAUUUAUGUAAGAGCUGACAAUAACUUAUUUUCAAGAGUCUACAUCCAUGUACCAACUUCAAUGCUCCUCGAUGACCCCAGUAAUUUCUCCAACAAAUUUUUGAAACUUCUUUAUUAAUACUCCCAGUGCACUUACAAUUAUUGGGAUGAUAGUUAUUACUUUUUUCAUUGCCUAUAUUCGUGCAAUAUCUGUGAUUCUUGUUUCCAUCAUCAGUUUAACAACUGCAACAAUAUCUAGAUAGUAACAUCCCACAAGAUCUUAAACUUAUUAUUCUCGGUGACACCUUGUUUAUGCUCGUUCCAUUUCAAUGUCAUUUCAAGACCUUACUUCUCCCACAAUCUCCAAUAAAUAUACCUAGCUAUAUUGUCAUGCCUCCUUUUAUAGCCCUUUUGAACCAAAUCGCUACACUCUUUCAUAAUAUAUGAGCCUGUUUAAUUUUUGAUGCUUCAUACUCUUAUCUAUCUGAAAUUUGAUGAGAUUAGUUCUCAGAGAUGAUUUCUGAGUGCUACUUAAACUGCCUCAGUGCAUCCUUUCAGAUGACCUUUCCUUAGGCACCUCCUGGUGUUCGUCCUGUCCUUCUCUUCCAUUUCUCUGAGGUAUUGCCUGUGCAUUGCUUUCACUUUACAGCCAUCCAUUCUUAGUUCUUCAGAUGACAAUACUUUGCCAUUUUUAUGAUAAUCACACUACACUUAAUCCAAAUACUUUCUCCAGAUCCGUACUAAAUACUUGCACUAUUGAAACAUUUAUUUCAUACUUACCCUUAUUGAACGUCUUUAAGUCAUUCAUAUACAACAGGUGAUUUAAGAUUGCAAUAUGUUACCCUGAUUUCACUUACCAUAAUAUCUGUGUAAGGGGUAUCAUACAAAUCACAAACAGUAAAGGUUACAGACUAUCUCUGAAAUAUGCCUCUUCUGAUGUUAACCAUCACCAAAGAUUCUCCACUUGAUGUUAACUGUAUUCUAGUUCUUAAUCUUCCUUAAUCUUCUGAACCCUGAACCAUGUGGUUAUGAAUUAAACUUCUUAUCAUACACCCACACCUGCGUUUAUUCAUACAUAAAUUAUAUGUUUCCAUCCUUGCACAUACAUAUGUUGCGAGAUCGAUAAUUCUUUGUGAUGUGUUAUCCUAGUCUAUUUAAAACCAUACAUACACAACACAGGCGCGCAUCUGCACGCACACACACGCACGCACGCACGCACACACGCACGCACGCACGCACGCACGCACACACACACACGCACACACAGACACACACACACGCACACACAAAUAAUCUAGCCUUUUGAUGAAUCUUUUAAAAAGAAAAAAAACUAGAAAAUAAUUUAAAUGUUUGGAGUGGCUUAUAAAUAUUGUUUCUUUCCUGAAUAUUGUAACUUAAGAUAUAUAUACAAACACACACACACACACAUGUAUGUCUAUACAUGUAUAUAUAUAUAUAUAUAUAUAUAUGAAUGAUAACACCACUUUAAAGUUGAGAGGAUAUUUUAGAUUCAAAGCAAUGUUUGAACAUUAUUACUCUAUCAACGGACGCCAUCUGGCGGUAGAACUGUCGAGCCUUUGGAGAAACAAACCAGAAAAAGACUUUGUGUACACAAAUGUUUAUCUACUUUAUUUACAAAGACCAUUAUGUGAUGGAAAUCUUUGAUUGUUAUUAUAUAACUGUCAGAUGUAGCUGUUGAUCUAGCUGUUGAUAAAUCUACAGUUAAUCUUCCUUCAUCACUUUAAAAGGUUCCUGCUAGAGCAACGAGAUGUACAGAUUGGUGUUUGGAUUGGUGGGUGGUGGUUAGACAUGCAGGUAGAUAAAGAGCUAGGUAGUAAAAUAGAUCUGUUGUCACACAUAUAGAGGGAUAGGUAGAAAGGUGGGUAAAUAACUGUGUCGGCACUCAAAGAAAAAGACUGAUAGAUAUAGCGAUAAAGAUGGAUAUAUUUACAGAUAGUCACAGACAAGGAGAAAAAGGCAAGCAAACAGGAAAUAGUGAAGAAAACUACAAACACAACAUUACACAUAUGCAUAUACACCCAUGUGUAAGUAUGCAUGUUUGGAUAUAUUCACGUUUGCAUUAUAUAGGAAAAUAGACUGAUGUGUCAAGGAGGCAAACAAAUAGGCUUGCACAUUGAUACAUAGACUAACUGAUAGACAAAUAGACAGAUAGAUGAACAGAUAGACAGACAGACAGACAGACAGACAUAUAGAUAGAUAGAUAGAUAGAUAGAUAGAUAGAUAGAUAGAUAGAUAGAUAGAUAGAUAGAUAGAUAGAUAGAUACACAUGCAUAGCUAGCUAUGUAUUUGUAAGUUAAUGCAUACAAAAAUAAGCAAAGGGGAAUACAUUAGUUUAUCGUGAGGAAGAAAGUCUAACGUUUCGGAGACGAAACACUUUGCCUCAGAGAAAGAGAGAGGGGAGAAGGGAGUAAGAAAGGGAUAGAGAGAAAGAGGAGAGAGAGAUGAAAUACUUUUUAAUAGUACUGAAUAUUCUAAUGUAUUUUAUCAUCAGAAGACUUGUUGGCAACAUGAAGGCAUCCAUAUUAUCCCUACUCUAUUCUACAGUCAAACAAUCAAAAUUUCGCUUAUUUUCAUAAAGGUUCUGUCGGUGUGUACAUAUAUAUAUUCAAGUGUAUUGCUUUUUCAAUCAACAUGUAAACACGUACAUAUUCCGUCCCCUACGCAUUUGCUCACGUGCAGUGUAUACCUAUAUUAACAUGUUCACAUGUAAUUAGAUUGUCUUCGACUUUUCUGAUGAUAUAAAAUAUUAAAGUUAAUCCUAUAGUUUCCGAAUUCCUGUCAGUAAUGGAAUCUAAGUAAGGGCAGUAAUGCACUUGUUUCAGCCAACUUUAUUCUCCUCAGCUAAAAUUCAGUGCAUGUCUGACACCUCCACCAAAUGAUACGACAUUAGGACCAGAGUAGUCUUAGGACCACUGUGGAAACCUUAAUAAUCAAACUCAAGUCUACCUCAAACGGCCUACCACCGUUCCUCCAAUUUUUCCAAAAAGAAAGCACGCGUUGGAUAAUUCGUAGGUUCAUUAUAUUUGAAUAAAAGAAGUCUGAGUGAUCACCAAUGUUCAUCAUACGUCUAUUGCGUUAGGGUUAGGGUUGCACUUAAAUAGACUGAUUUUUAUAGUAUGGUACCUACUGAGAGCAAGCAAAGCGGUUACACACUGUGGUACCACAUAACAGUUAUGUAGAUUAUGCUGCAAUGUAGGUACAUAGUGGGAGCUGGGUGGAUUGUUUUACACUGUGUUACCUACAGACAGCUAAGCAGACUAGCACUUAUUUCUAGGUAGAUGGAUCCCAUUGAAUGCUUAAUGAAAGCUUGAUAGACUAUACUUACUCUGACGCACCUACAUAUUGUCGAUGAACCAUAGUACACUAUGCUACCAACGGACAGAUGGGGUGGGACUGUCUAUACUACAUACCUAUUGAGAGCUAAGUGUAAUAGACUACACCAUGGUACCUAGUAACAUCUUUGUGGACUGUAUUGCGUUGCGGUACCUAUAAAUGAUUAGGCGGACUAUGCUGCCCUCUGUCACCUACAGACGUGGAAUAAUGUGGUACCUACCGAUCGCUAUACUGAUUAUCGCUAGAUUGCUUUGUGGUACUUAAAUAUUAUAGACAGUCUGUACAUCAGAUUGGUAUGUACUGAAAGACAAGUGGCCUUCCCUACUGUGGUGCUUUCUGAAAGCUUUGUGGAUUAUACUCCAUGCUGGUAACUAAUUACUGUGGAUGGACUCCAUGCUGUUGUAUCUACUUAUGUUUGUAGAAUACAUUUCAUGUAGGAAGGUGCACUAUACCUAACGGAAAGAUGGUCAGCACAGUUUAUAAAAUAUAUGGCCUUAUUUCACUGUGGUACCUACUUACUUCAUAACUAUAAUGCCAUCUGCAACUGUGUUGGCAGUAGCAUACUGUAGGGAUUAAUGACAGUGGCACCUCACUUCAUUACGCAUAUUUGAGUAAUCUGUAACUUACACACUUUGUAUAUACUUGUAGAUAUAUGCAUUUUAAUGUACAUACUUGUAGAUAUAUGUAUGUUAAUGUGCUGUCUACUUACAUUCACCUGGACUGUUCUUUGAUGGUUUCCCACAUUAAUGUAGUAGUUACUGAUAUCUAAGUGUGGAGUAUUUGUUUAAGAUAUUUCCUUACACGUUAUUAAACUGUACCCCAUUGUAUUUAUUUUCAGCGAAGUG